rnacentral:lncRNA from 1 species
UUUUAUUUUUUCGCAUUUGGGUCUCUCAAAAAAUUAUUUUCGCAAAUAGUCCCACCAAAUUUAUAAUUAUAAUUUUAAUCCUAUCCCUGCAACACAGGUACCACAUUAGCGCCACGUGAACAGAAAAGAGGGGGAAUAAAUUGAAUACGAUACGAUGAAUGAUUCACCGUAUUCAACAUAACGUCCCUUUCUACCGAGCUUGCGUGAUUUUGAUAUGGCGCCUGUAUGGCGCGAAUAUGAUUAAAAUUAUAAUUAUAAAUUUGAUGGGAUUGUUUGUUAAAAGAAAAAAAAUUAAGAGGGCCAAAUGCUAAA